GGUGUGUUCAUGGAAAGCUGCCUCGAAGUUCUCGGAAUUACUCAGGAUUCUUUCCCAGUCCUUCAUGGGGCCUCUAAUGAAGUCUGAGCUGUAGCCUGGGGUUGAUGCCAGCCUGGAAUGCAAGGAGACUGAAAGCUGACACCCGUUCAACGGAGCAAAGGGCCUUGCACUGAGGUUGUUGCCAUGACAACCUGGGUAUGUUCCUGGUGACGCAUUUACACAACGGGGUUAAAGUUCUUUGAAACCAGUGGCUGCUGUAAAAACAGCAUAUUAAAUAUGCUCCGGACUGUGGGCUGUGCAUUCUUCUCUCUCUGGAGACACUCCCCCUGCCGUGUGUGUGUGUGUGUGUGUGUGUGUGUGUGUGUGUGUGUGUGUGUUUCAUUGGGGGAAAUUUCUCAAAGUGCAAAGUGAAUUUACAGCAGAAUCAAUCAAAUAGCGGGCUAGCUCUGCACAAAUUUUCUCCUUUUUGAAAGGAAGGGACAAUAAUUUGGGUCAUCAUUCCCCUCUGCAGUGGCACAACAAUGGCUGCUUUGUUGAUCAAAUGAUUUGGUCAACCAUAUUGGUCGUUUUCCAGAAGGUUGGGCAGACACUGGAGCCCUUGAAAGGUGUGAACGUCUGUGAAGGGGUGGUGACCUUGAGGCUGGCUGGCUGCACUUGAGAUCAGAUCCUCCAGCUUUGGUAUCAGACCAUGCCCGUGCUUUGCUGAUGACACUGCUGUCUCUUGGGAUGCAGUUCUGAACUAAGUACUGCAUUCCACACUCCACGCUCCUGGGAGAGUUUUUAAUCUUUUCCAUUUUUUUUUUUUUUUGGUACGGGUAGAUGGUAUGCAUUUUCUGAUUUUAAAACAAAGUUGUUACAAGGUGGUUUCUAUUUUGAGGUUUUUUUUUUUCUUUCCUAGAAAGGAAAGAGAGGUUAAAUUGUGUUUUAUAUGAAUUCAAAGAAGGCUGCUUUGAGAAUAAAUAGCUGCCUGGCUGUAUGACUGUUGAGGUAUAACAUGACACAUGAUUCUGUGUAUAAGUGUGAUUGCCUUCAGAGGAUAACUGAGAAACUAAACUCAAUAUAUACUUGCCAAAAUAUCUUCUCCUGGGCCAUCUCCUCUCAAGUACAAUGUGUAUUCAGGCACCUGCAACCUCAGUUGUUUGCCUGGACAGCUAAGAGAUCUAUCGGGGGAGAAACGGAGAUCUUAAUCUGUGGCUUUUAGAGACAUUUGGUUUGGGUGUUCAAUCCUGUCUUAGAUGAUGGAAAUAUGUCUUAAGGAAAACAAUCAAACAGACAAAAACCUCAAAAGAAACAAAUAAUACUUUCUGGGACAGGAGAGAUGGCUUUAAGCCUGCUCAGGACCUGCAUUCAAUCUCCAGCUUCCAUACAAAAUGCUGAGCAUGGUGGGUUGUUCCUAUCAUCCCAGCAUGGAGGGACAGGGAGAUGGGAGGUGAACCCCUGGCAUUCACGACCUCA
rnacentral:lncRNA from 1 species